rnacentral:rRNA from 1 species
AGUGAACGCUGGCGGUCGGCCUAACACAUGCAAGUCGAACGGCAGCACAGUAAGAGCUUGCUCUUACGGGUGGCGAGUGGCGGACGGGUGAGGAAUACAUCGGAAUCUACUUUUUCGUGGGGGAUAACGUAGGGAAACUUACGCUAAUACCGCAUACGACCUACGGGUGAAAGCAGGGGAUCUUCGGACCUUGCGCGAUUGAAUGAGCCGAUGUCGGAUUAGCUAGUUGGCGGGGUAAAGGCCCACCAAGGCGACGAUCCGUAGCUGGUCUGAGAGGAUGAUCAGCCACACUGGAACUGAGACAAGGUCCAGACUCCUACGGGAGGCAGCAGUGGGGAAUAUUGGACAAUGGGCGCAAGCCUGAUCCAGCCAUACCGCGUGGGUGAAGAAGGCCUUCGGGUUGUAAAGCCCUUUUGUUGGGAAAGAAAAACAGCAGGUUAAUACCCCGCUGUUCUGACGGUACCCAAAGAAUAAGCACCGGCUAACUUCGUG